UAUCAUUUAUCAUUUGUGCCCUCCUCUAACUCUCGUGUUCACUCCUCCUUGCCUCGGUGCCUCCCUUCUCCCUCCUCCCUACUUCCUACUUGCCUUCUUCUUUUCCUUUCACCCGUGGUUCUUCCAUUGAUGGUUUUUCAGCAAACCCUAGAUCUCACUCAAUCUCCUACGCCCCCAUUUUCUCUCUCCUCUCCUCUCCCUCCUUCUUUCUUUAUCCAUUUUCUUCUUCGCUACAUCUAUCUCACUCCACAAUAACUGAAUAUGGCGGCUGAUAUCCUUGAUUGUGGUUAGGGUUUUCUCGUUCUUCUUCUUUCAAGGUUAACUGGAAGUAGACGAAGAUAAUGGACAAGGUAGAUUUCCAGCCAAAGGAAGGAGAUAAUGCUAAAACUAAGCUUGAAAAUCACUAGGAUACUCUUGGCUGAGAUGGCUUGAGCUGAGGAAGCUAAGAAACUCUAGGCUUAUAUUAAAGUGAAGGAUUUGCUCAAGAUCCCAACAAGCGUAACAUAAAAUGUGACAAGCUGUUGCAUUCCAUUGUUCGUGUAGAUACGAUCAACAAGUUCCAGAUGAAUAAAUCUCUCUAUAAGCAUGUAUGUCCGCUCAAUCAGAAGAAGUUUGCAGGCAAGCUGUGCUGUUAUUGGGGAAUCGGUGUCAAAAUUUCUUUUAAUAUAUUCACCCAAUCUUAUGGUGUACUUUCAAAUUGCAAGAUGUUAUGUGUGCGUUCUUGAUCCAACCAGUUACUAAUCAACGAGAUUAGUCAGGAAAAGUUUCCCUUGUUGGUCAAAGAAAGCGGUGAAGUUUUAAAGGUGAAGCUAAAAGGCUAAACAAAAUAGCCAAGUGUUGUUCAAGGUCAGGGAAAGAAGGCCAUCUUAAUUGCGGUGUGGAUGCUGAGGGUGAUCAACAUUUUCAAGGGACUCCGUCAUGUCGAGAAGAGAAGUCAGCAGGCUUAAAAUUUUCAGUCAUUACCUCAGUAAUUAUGGAUUUAGAGAAUUUUUCAAGCGCUGCGGAAUUCAAAUCUCUAACCAGGAGUGAGCUUAAUGAGGUUAUAGUUCUCUGUUGUCAAGUUUUUGGGUUGAGCUUCUCCAGGAGUGAGCUUAAUGAGAGAUGAUGAAUGGGAUGUAAAUAAAUGGGCAUGGGAGGGAGUCUUGAAAGUUAUUAGCAAGGGAGAAGAGUGCAUAAUCAGACUUGAGGAUAAGUCAACAGGUGAACUCUAUGCUCGGGCUUUUUUGAGAAAAGGAGAGCCACAUCAUGUGGAAACUGUAAUUGAUAGUAGCAGAUACCUUUUGCUUCGAAUAGAAGAGAAAACAGAUAUCUCGAUAACAAGAAAACUGCUGAAGAAAUGGAGCAGCAAUUCCAGAAUUCUUCAGCCAUUGAUUACAGUUUGAAAGAUGGAGAGACCCUUGUUCUUCAGUUAAAAUAAGUAAGCUCGCUAUUUGUCUGUUUCCUCACUGAUUAAAUAAAUAAUUUGCUACUCGAAUGAAUGAUAAUCUGUUUAUGCUCAACAUUUUAUUAUUAGAAACCUGGUGGCAAUAUAAAUCUGAAAUCCAUUGAUGAGGGUGUGAACAACCUAUGAAUAACAGAUAAAAGUAAAGCUAAAGAGCCCUUGUUUUCUAUCAGACCACCUCCUCCUCCACCAGGGGCGGACCUACAUGGAACUUGAGGGGACCAAAGGGACCCCCAUUUUCUGAAAAAAUUAAACCAGGAAUCUAUAUAUUCUUGCUUAAUGUCCGCUCAGAAUAAUAAUAAAUUGGUGUAGCUUAGUGGUUAAUCUACUUGCUGUUACUCUAUCCUUUGAACGCAGAAGUCAUGUGUUCGAGUCCCGACCCUACACUCUUCAAAGCUGUUACACUUUUUUCCUUACCCGUGACCAUUCAUCUUCAUGGUUUCUUACUUUCUAAAAUGUUUUUGGCUUUAUUUUUUAUUUUUACCAUUUUCUGAUUUUUUCAUGAUUUAUUUCUUGCUCUUUUUUUGUUUUUUUCUUCUGAUUUUAGUACUGUAUUUAUAUUUUAUAAUUGCUUAAUUUCAUUGCAUUUUUUAGGGGUCUAAUUAUAUAAUAACAAUAUGGCCCAUAAAUAUUGAAAAAGGUGCAACUUUUUUUAUACAAUGGUGUAGUUUUGUCAUUCUUUUUGUUAGUAAUUUGUAAUGAAUCAGAUUUCUUAUAACAUGUAAAAACUCAUCGUAUACACUCGUAAUAAUUUUUUUCUUGAGAUGAAUCGCUGUAAAUUAUUGUUUGGACUGAUAUAUUGAUUUCUAUUGCUCUUAAGCCUACACAAAAAUUCCUAAAUCUUCACUGCAUAAUUUUGUUAUGGAUAUUAAGAAAAUUUAUUACCUAACGUUCCCCAAUUCCCCUUAACAAAAGGGGCAAAAUAGAAGGAUAAGCAAUUUUGUUUUUUUAAAAAAGUAAAAAGUUGGACCCCCAUUUCUAUAUUACUGAGUCCACCACAGUCCUCCACCACCAACCCUCUCACCAACUUCUUCUCCUAAAACUCCUAGAUCCCCAAGUUCUAAUCCUAAUAAAAUAUUCGAAGAGGAGAAAGAAGAUCCCAGUAAAGAGCAGGUUCAACCUGAUUUUAAUUUUAAGGAAAAUCAAAGUUCAGAAGAUACAACAGAUGAGGAAUUUAGGGAUUUUCAAGCAGCUGGCUGAUUUUUUAACUUGUAUAAAUAAACUUCUGUUCAUAAAUGAAAUUUCUUUCGGACAAGGCUGGUGUACAUUGUGCAUGAUCAAGUGUUGAUCCAAAGUCUAUGCUAUGCGAAUUUUUAAGGCAGGGCAGUGUUCAGAAGGUGAGGAAAGGAGAAAAGAUUGACAUUUACACAGAUGUGUGGUGAUGGUGAGUAGUUAAAUUGUUAAUUUUUGGCUUAACCCAACUUUUUCGCUCGUUUAUGUGAUUGAUAGUUGAUACACGACAUACAACGGGAAACAGGUACAAGAUAAACCUAUGGAUGAUAGGAAGACAGAACAAGUUGGGUUAAUAUGUUCUUUGUAAUUAUUUUUGUGGAGAUGGGGGGGGGGGGGGGGGGGUUAGGGGUGACUUUUAUAUACUCUUAUUCAGAGUUGGGUCUAAUCUACUCAGCGCACUCUGUGCUGCUCAUAUCACUUAGUUUUUGGUUGUGUCAGCUGUUCUUAGUUGUUUUUCAAAGUACUAGCAACACUGGUGCCACAGUUCUAUUCUCCGAAGUGUGCUGAUGUUUUUGUGUUCAAGCUUGCAUGAAGUUUGCUGGUCCGUGGCAGUGCAACAAGUUAGCUCAGGGUUGCCAAGUCUGGUUGUCUGUUGCUUGUUGUGUUUGUUGCUCCGUGAAGUUUUAACCAAAGUGGUCAGGUUGACUUGGUGUGGUGUUGUUUGCUAUAAAAACAUAGUCCCAAUGACUUUGCAUAAUGGCCCCAGAAUUGUUGUAACUGAUUUCUUAUUUAUAUACCUCAUGUGUUUGCAUA